CAGUAGCCACGGUAAUACGAGGGGGGCAAGCGUUGUUCGGAAUUAUUGGGCGUAAAGGGCGCGUAGGCGGUUUGGCAAGUUUCGUGUGAAAUCUUCGGGCUCAACUCAAAGUCUGCACGGAAAACUGCCGGGCUUGAGUAUGGGAGAGGUGAGUGGAAUUUCCGGUGUAGCGGUGAAAUGCGUAGAUAUCGGAAGGAACACCUGUGGCGAAAGCGGCUCACUGGACCAUUACUGACGCUGAGGCGCGAAAGCUAGGGGAGCAAACAGGAUUAGAGACCCGUGUAGUCCCUGUCUCUUAUAC
rnacentral:rRNA from 1 species